AAUCAACGCUGGCGGCGUGCCUCAGACAUGCAAGUCGAACGAUUAAGACUUCCUUCGGGAAGUGUAUAAAGUGGCGCACGGGUGAGUAACACGUAAGUAAUCUACCCUCGAGUGGGGAAUAACGUUCGGAAACGAACGCUAAUACCGCAUAAUGCAGCGGCAUCGCAAGAUGACAGUUGUUAAAGGAGUAAUUCGCUUGAGGAGGAGCUUGCGGCAGAUUAGCUAGUUGGUAAGGUAACGGCUUACCAAGGCUACGAUCUGUAUCCGGUCUAAGAGGACGGUCGGACACACUGACACUGAAUAACGGGUCAGACUCCUACGGGAGGCAGCAGUCGGGAAUUUUGGGCAAUGGGCGAAAGCCUGACCCAGCAACGCCGCGUGAAGGAUGAAGUAUUUCGGUAUGUAAACUUCGAAAGAAUGGGAAGAAUAAAUGACGGUACCAUUUAUAAGCUCCGGCUAACUACGUGCCAGCCGCCGCCGCGGUAA
rnacentral:rRNA from 1 species